UACGUAGGGUGCGAGCGUUAAUCGGAAUUACUGGGCGUAAAGCGUGCGCAGGCGGUUUGUAAGCCAGAUGUGAAAUCCCCGGGCUUAACCUGGGAAUGGCAUUUGGGACUGCAAGGCUGGAGUGCGGCAGAGGAGACUGGAAUUCCUGGUGUAGCAGUGAAAUGCGUAGAUAUCAGGAGGAACACCGAUGGCGGAAGGCAGGUCUCUGGGACUGACA
rnacentral:rRNA from 1 species